GCUGGCGGCAGUAGCGCGGUGGUCCCACCUGACCCCAUGCCGAACUCAGAAGUGAAACGCCGUAGCGCCGAUGGUAGUGUGGGGACAUCAAAUAAAACAAAAGGCUCAGUCGGAA
rnacentral:rRNA from 1 species